AGUGAACGCUGGCGGUAGGCCUAACACAUGCAAGUCGAACGGCAGCACAGGAGAGCUUGCUCUCUGGGUGGCGAGUGGCGGACGGGUGAGGAAUACAUCGGAAUCUACUCUGUCGUGGGGGAUAACGUAGGGAAACUUACGCUAAUACCGCAUACGACCUACGGGUGAAAGCAGGUGACCUUCGGGCCUUGCGCGAUUGGAUGAGCCGAUGUCGGAUUAGCUAGUUGGCGGGGUAAAGGCCCACCAAGGCGACGAUCCGUAGCUGGUCUGAGAGGAUGAUCAGCCACACUGGAACUGAGACGCGGUCCAGACUCCUACGGGAGGCAGCAGUGGGGAAUAUUGGACAAUGGGCGCAAGCCUGAUCCAGCCAUACCGCGUGGGUGAAGAAGGCCUUCGGGUUGUAAAGCCCUUUUGUUGGGAAAGAAAUCCAGCUGGCUAAUACCCGGUUGGGAUGACGGUACCCAAAGAAUAAGCACCGGCUAACUUCGUGCCAGCCGCCGCCGUAA
rnacentral:rRNA from 1 species